UUGACAGCAGAGCAGUGCCCACAACUUCCUCUUGCAGCUGGUUUCAUGGCAGCCGUCUUUCUAUUAAGCCCAACUGUCUCAAGCUUCUUCAUGUUUUCUUUCCUACAUCUGUUUCUAUUCAGCCCAACUGUCCCAGAAGAAUAACCAUUUCCAUUAGCUUUAUAUGUUGAAUCUAAUGGCUCUGAAUAGAACUUGUAGGACUUUUUUGUAGGGGUGCCCAAAUAUCUUCUGUCCUAUGUUCGUCAUUGUCAUUCAAAACCCUACAUCAUAGGUUUUUCAUCAUUCAUUCAUGUUAUUGCAAAUUAAUUUAGAAGAACUCAAAUCUGCAAAUUAACUAUAAACUAUCCACUAACAGACUCCCCAAUAUUGGCUAUGACAUCCCAAUAACAAAAAUAGAGCUUGCCGGGUAAGAUAAUUAACCUCCCAGCUUGAGACGAGAUCAGACUUCAAAUCAGGAAGUACGAAAGAAACUCAAUGGGCAAUGUAAUGACGAAUGGGUUCUCUGCCGUCAACUUGAGAGCUCCACGGGGCGAUGGCGGGAAGAUUUAUAAGGUUACUGUGUUUACUUAACAUCACAAUUAUACCCUUAUAAUUUAAUAAUAUAACAGAUAUAUCCUUUAUAAAUCCCAAAUUUUGUUUAAGAAAAUGUGAAAAUAGUGGUAUACGAGAGAUCCUAGACUUAUCGUACUUCGAAAUUAUAUUCACGAUGAUAAAACCGGAGUUCAACACUGUUUCGACAAGGUGGUUGUGUUGUCUGUCCCAACGUUUCAAAUCGCUAUAAUGAAAAUGUUAGGACAACGAAACUUCUGCAUGUAUGAUAGUUGGAGACCAACUCUUACGUCGUCACGUGAACCCAAAAGGAGACAAUUGAUGAUGAAGGUUUUAGGUGGCCUACUGCUAAGCUUACCGUUCAAACAACUGACAGAGCUCCAUUGCCAUCAUCAUCAUCAUCGUCCAUUGUAUUGUACCAAACCGAGCGCACACAGUGUACAUUGCGCCCAGUCAAUUCGUCCACUGUACACCUAUAAGAUGUGUUACUGGUAGAUUGACCAUCUGAUCAUCAGAUUAACAGUAAUUCUCUGGUAUUUUUCUGCUCUGAAAACCCACCUAGUAGGAUGUUCACCAUCGAAAAAGGGAAAUUCAAUUCUUACCAUGAGACCUUGCAAUUGUAUACCUCCACUCCGUGAAGGUUUUUUGUUGGACCGUAGUUGUUCCGAUUGUUGAUUACUGUCUUCAUAUUGCAAUAGAUCUAAUCUUGUGGU